rnacentral:misc_RNA from 1 species
AUGGAGGUUCCAACUGAUUCUCCAAUCGUUCACGAUGGAAUUCUUCUUGAAAAAGAACAGUUGAUGAACAAAGAUAAAGAUGAUAGAUUGACAAAUUGGCGUCUUAUCAUAACUGCUGCAGUUGUUUCUUGUUUGAAUGCUGUCGAAAAUUCAGUUCUAGGAAUUGGAGAAUGGCCUUACAUGAGAGAAAUUGACCCAAAUGCAACUGCUCAAUUUUUCGGGCUUGCAACAUCAGCUUCCAAAUGCGGACAUGCCGUUUUUGCGCUGAUUUUUUCCAUUUGGAGCUAUAAAACGAGCUCUGUGAAAAUUCCACUUAUUGCAAGUAGAUUAAUCGCAAUUGCUGCAUGUAUGAUCUACUUAACCAUUGAAUAUGUGAAAACUGAUAAAAGAUAUGUACUGAUGGCAGUGUAUACUUUACUGGGUAUUGCAAAUAGUGGGGGAACGGUUCUUCGUGGAUAUGUUACAUUGUGCUCUUCAAACGAAGAUCGUCCACGAGCUUUUGCUGCACUUGGAUUGUCAUUUAUUUUUUCGAUUAUUGUUGGACCAACGAUUCAAUUAAUCUUCAGCGCGAUCCCAUACCCGGGGUAUGAGAUAAUUCCAGGAAUUUGGUUCCAUUUAUAUUCGGCACCAAUUUGGAUUUCGUUUAUUCUCACUAUUCUGACAGUCUUCGUUAUUUUAAUUUUGAUAGAAGAUAUUUCUAGAGAAAAGAAAACUAAGUUGAGGCCAAGUGAAUCACAGUCGAGCUUUUCAAUGGAACGUUGGAGAUCUUUAUAUGAAAAAUUGAAGAAAAGCAAUUUGGACUGGAAACUUAUUGUAGUAUGCUUCUUUGUGAGAAUGGCUGUUUCCUUUUCUCAUAGUACACUGUCAACGAUAGGAUCCAUUCUUUACAUGGUUAUGUUUGGGUGGGAUGGUGCAACUACAGUUCGAGUGGGAUCAAUCACAAUGGUCAUUUUUGGAGUGAUGUCAUCUACCAUACUACUUCUCUAUAUUUUCUGUCAUUUCGGAAAAAUUCUCCCACAGCACAAAGUCUUCUUAUUCUUCACAAUUGCAUUUGGCGCAGUCUAUAUAAUCACGUAUCCAUUUGAGUUUACAAGUAAUCCAGUUGCCAAAUACAAUGAAACCACUCGCGCUGGGUGCAACCCUGAGGAGUACUCAUGGUGUUCGACUGCUUUGGCGGUCAAUCCAAUGCUAUAUCUUUCCGUAACUAUAUUGGUUGCCGGAAUGUCCAUUCCGAUAAUGAGCACUGCUUUGGAUACAGUUUACUCAAGAAUUCUGGGAAAUAUUGACCAAUCUGUUGCUCAUGGUGCAAUGGCAGUAAUCGAUGACAUCUUGUACAUGAUCACACCAAUUUUUACAACAACAAUGUUUACAUUAUACGGAAUUGGCCCAUUAUGGAUUGUCAAAUCGAUGGCUUUUGCUACCGAUCCCUUGUAUCAUAUAGCCUUUACACGUUUCUCCAAUUGGUGUUUCCUUUCAUCUACACUUCAAUAUUCUUACUUUUUGCGUUUUUGGAAGUGGACUAUACUCCAAUGACAUGUGCAAUUCCACUUGCAAUGGGUUCCAAGACAUUUGUAACUUGGUCAUUCUCAAAUAUGGCGUUGAAUGCGUUUACAAUGAUGCUAUACACAUCGGUUUAUUUUUUAGUACGGAAAAAAGAAACUGGUCAAAAAUUCAAAGCAGUCUUUAAGUCUAUUUUUAUCACUGCAACACUCGUUAUUAUUGGUUGGACUGUUACGUGCAUCUCCAACACAUUUGUCGUGCUAUUUGUUCUAUACGGAAAACAAAUAGUGAACAUGUACGCGGGCAUUCCAGUGAACAUAGCAUGUGCCUCAAAUAUCUUUGUUUUUUACCGAAUCAACCUAGACUACCGCAGUGGUAUCAGAAAAAUAUUUCCAUGCAAAACUACCACAGUGGGUUCGAUACAUGUGCAUAUUGAAAGAAACGCGUCAAUAACUACACCUGGACACUCUCCAAAUACAAAUUAA